UACGUAGGGUGCGAGCGUUGUUCGGAUUUACUGGGCGUAAAGGGCGCGUAGGCGGUCAGCACAAGUCAGUUGUGAAAUCUCCGGGCUUAACUCGGAAAGGUCAACUGAUACUGUGCGACUAGAGUGCAGAAGGGGCAACUGGAAUUCUCGGUGUAGCGGUGAAAUGCGUAGAUAUCGAGAGGAACACCUGCGGCGAAGGCGGGUUGCUGGGCUGACACUGACGCUGAUGCGCGAAAGCCAGGGGAGCGAACGGG
rnacentral:rRNA from 1 species